AAAUUUGCACCUUAUUAUAUUUGGGUAGGAAUCCUAAGGUUUUAAUAACGUAGGGCUGAAUUCGAGUUAUGGCAUGUCACGGCUAGAGUUGUUUUUGCUAUUACGAGUAGUUGGAGCUGAGGCUGCCUCUGCCACCGGAGAACGCUCUGUCGAUGACCCACCGGAGCUUCUGGCCGUCGCCGGAGCUGUUGCCGGGCCGAUUCGAAAUCACAGCUGUUCCGUUUUGUUAAUUCGAGCUGUUUAUGCUGCUGUGAAAAUGUGUGGGGCUGUGCUUAGGAACUGCCAUUGGUUUUGACUCGAGACGAAUGGAUUUCUGAGAGGCGUUUGGAGUAUAGUUCCAAUUUGUCGAGGAUUUGGGCGCAGAAGUUAUGAAGAGCUUAUUUAAUUGUUGUUGUGAUGCUCU